AUCGCCAAGUAAAGGACAACAAUAACACGAGUGGUGCGGGUAGGAAACAAUGGAAGUGGUUCGACUUGUUGGACCAGAUUUACGGCCAUAGACCGGCCAACGUUGGGAGGGAGGGAGGCCUGGACUCUGCAACGGCUUUACUGGAGUCCCUGCAAGAUGAUUACAUUGGGACUCGUGAGGAGGAACAUUCCCGAACAACGGGUGAUGGCAGUGUUCCGUCCACAACAUCGUCAUCGAAUCCAGAACGGACCCCAGCUCGACCAGACACCAGCCGAAGAACCGACACCAACUCAACCACCAACGCCGAGUGCCAUCACGACACCGCAGCGUGUGGUUCUAGGCAAGAGGAAACGAGGAGGAGAGGAUCGGGCCCAGUAGGAACGGCACCAUGAACGGCACUUGGACUGGGCCAAAUCGUCUGCUGAGCGGAGAUGGGAGUUGGAUGCGGCCUUGAGAAGGGAGGAGGCCGCUCAAGCAGAGACCUUCAACCUAGCCUUCCUGCGCACUCUUGGCGAGGUGCUAGGGGGACUGGGCAGCCGACGUGGCAGCCGACGUGGCCCGUCUCCUCCGUGAUACUUAAAAUAACCUUAAUAGUUAUUGUACAUAUUAUAUAUUUUUUAUCUAGUUAAUUU